rnacentral:lncRNA from 1 species
UCUAGUAUGUGGACAAGCCACUUUCAGUACUUCCUUCGUCAAUAUCCCAAUCCCAUGCAUCAGAUAAUAACAACAUGGCAUGCAGUAAAUAACAACAGUCAAACAUGCAUUUAAGUCAAUUUAACCCUAGGGGUAUUUCGGUAAUUUAUCUCCUAAGGGUAAAACUGUAAAUUUUUCACUUUUAAAGGUAUUUCAGUAAUUUAUCUAUUUUAGGGUUUUUCAUGCAUAUUCCUACCUUUCACGUACUACAGAAUCACGUACCGAGGGUUCUUACCGAAUUGGGCCCGUUGGCCCAUCAUUCCAAUUUUGGCCCAUUAAGCCCAAAAAUAUUGAGGGCACAGAAAUCAUGCACUUUGCAGUCCAAACUUUGCAGCUUACCAAAAACAUUAAUCAAUUUACCUCACGAGCAUUCGCACACUCGCAAAUCUACAAAAUACCGGUUUUUGGCAUUUUGGCUUUUCGACUUUUGCCGAUCUAGACUAAGAAAGAGGGUGUUAGUUACACACCUGUUUGCGAUGAUAUGCUGACGAGAUCCACACACGAACUGCCUACAAUUUGAUUAGUAACACGUUAAUCUAACUAUUCAAAUACAAACUACGUAUUAACCCCUUACAAUAUUCGGCCAACCAUACCUACAGGUCAUAGUAAGCUUAUAAGAAAUCAAUAAGCAACUCAUUAACAAAUUUUUGUCAAUGUUUACCACAUAAUCAUAAUUUCACUGCAAGCUGUCUUCCUGAGCAACAGUCACUAAAUUAUUUAUAACUGGAGCUACGAAACUCCAAAUCAAGUUCCGUUAAUUUUCCCUGAAAAUAGACUCAUAUAUCUUCUAUCCAUAAAAUAUUUAGAAUUUUUGGUUUAGCCAAUCAAUACCAGAUUUUUCUCAAAUUUUCCCAUGUUUCACUGUUUGACUAAUCUGACCACUCUUCAUUACAAAUCAAAUUUCUCAUUGUACACAAUUCAAAAUAUGUUCUUGUUUAUUUUAUUAGAAACUAGACUCAAUAAGCUUUAAUUACAUAAUUUAUUCAGCUUCUAAUUCAUCUCCCACAAUUUAUGGUGAUUUUCCAAAGUCACGUUACUGCUGCUGUCCCAAGCAGAUUUAUUACCAAAUCACUCUUUCACACAUAACUGGCAUGCAUGUUAUUUAAACAUGUAUAUCACCAAUCAAUCAUCACAUAUCUAUGAUUUUACUUAAGAAUAAUCUCCAUUUCAUCAUUUUAAAGCACAACAUGUUAGCCGAUUUUUCCCCUUAGUAUCUAAGGCACAUGCAUGCUCAUUUGUUUGGCUCAACUUCACAUAUCUUCCAUUUUUCAUCAAAAGAACAUGAAACAACAACCAUUUCCUUCAUUUUAAUUCAUGACCAAAUGAUCACAACACAACCAAAAACCAAAAUAUGCUUCAAGAGUUAAGGUAGAAUCAAGAAGAACUCAUGAACCUCAAAAUAGAAACAAGGUACCAAGAACUUACCUUCAAUUUUCCUCCUCCUAAUGACCGAAUACUCAAGAGCUUUCUCCUCUCCUUUCUCUUCUCUAACUUUCAGCUAUGAUGAACAAAGAUGGACAAAACUUUGUUCUUUUCACCCCUUUUUCUUUUAAUAAAACUUCAUAUUUCAUCCAUUUAAUUCUUUAAUACAAAAGACAUGAAAUUCUUAUCAUGAAACAUUUACCUAACCCAUUAUCAUGAAACAUUUACCUAACCCAUUAUCAUGAAACAUUUACCUAAACAUUUACCUAACCCAUUAUCAAGAAACAUUUACCUAACCUAUUAUCAUGGAACAUUUACCUAACCUAUUAUCAAUUUGUAUCAAUUUGUACCAUAAAUUAUGGAUAUCAAGCGUACAUUUUGUCUACAACAACAUGAUGGCUGGCCACUUCAUGUAAAAUGGGAGGUUUGUCAUGCAAAUCCUCCUAUUUUGCACUCCUAUUUAUUUGGCCACUUCAAUUUAGCCUAUAGCAUUUUCAAACAUUUUCACAUAGGUCCUAUUUCAUAAUUUCACUCACAAAUGACAAAAUCAAAGCAUGAAAUUUUGUCAACAUUCACAGAAUUCCCGAAAAUUGGGGCGUUACAACUCUACCCUCCUUAAAGAAAUUUCGUCCUCGAAAUUUACCUAAUCCAAACAUAUGAGGGUAUUGCUAUUGCAUCGUCUCUUCUGGCUCCCAAACUCAGAAGUUUCCCCUUCCUUAACUUGUUGAAAACGAGCGACCAAAGACUCAUCUUUCAACUGUUUUUCCUUAAUCUGAUCCACCCAGGUUGGCCUCAUUUGCAACUCAGCCAACAGACUUCCAUCAUCAUACAGACUCAGACGAGCAAACAUUGUUCUCAGAUCAGAUACAGCUCUACGACUUAGAGCAUCGGCUACCACAUUGCCUUGCUUGGGUGAUACUCGAUCGAACAGUCAUAAUCCUUAAGCAACUCAAUCCAUCUCCUUUGCCUAAGGUUCAGCUCCUUCUGAGUCAACAAAUACUUAAGACUCUUAUGGUCAGUGUAUAUAAUACACCUUUCUCCGUACAAGUAAUGUCUCCAAAUCUUAAGUGCAAAUAUCACUGCUGCCAACUCUAAAUCAUGAGUCAAAUAGUUUCCCUCAUGAGGCUUAAGCUAUUGUGAUGCAUAUGCAACCACCUUACCCUCUUGCAUUAACACGCAGCCCAAACCCACGUGUGAUGCGUCACUGUACACAGUAAAAUCUUUCCCAGACUCCGGCUGAAUUAAUACAGGUGCUUCAGUCAGAACUUUCUUCAACUUCUCAAAAGCCUCCUGUUGGGUCUCAGUCCAUACAAACGGUACCCCUUUCCUUAUGAGUUUUGUCAGAGGUGCUGCCAUCACAGAAAAACCUUCCACAAACCUUCUGUAGUAUCCUGCCAACCCUAGGAAACUUCGAAUUUUCGACACCGUCCUAGGCGGCUUCCACUCCAAAAUCACUUCAAUUUUCCGAGGGUUUACCUUAAUCCCCUCAGCAGAGACCACAUGUCCUAAGAAGGUUACCUCCCUUAACCAAAAUUCACACUUGCUGAACUUCGCAAAGAGUUCCUUCUCCCUUAAUACUUACAGCACUAUACGGAGAUGCUCAUCAUGUUUCGUUUCAGUUUCAGAAUAUACCAGGAUAUCGUCAAUAAAGACGACUAAGAGCUGAUCCAAAAAUGGUUGGAACACACGAUUCAUCAGAUCCAUAAACGCUGCAGGAGCGUUCGUUAGUCCAAAUGGCAUAACUAGAAACUCGUAAUGACCAUACUGAGUCUUGAAUGUCAUCUUUUGGAUAUCUGCCUCAUUGACCCUUAACUGAUGAUAUCCAGAUCGAAGGUCGAUCUUAGAAAAUACAGAAGCUCCUCUAAGCUGGUCGAAUAGAUCGUCAAUCCUUGGUAGUGGAUACUUAUUCUUAAUCGUCAGUUUGUUCAACUGGCGAUAAUCAAUGCACAUUCGCAUCGUACCAUCCUUCUUUUUCACGAAUAGCACCGGUGCUCCCCAUGAAGACACGCUUGGCCUAAUGAAGUCCCUAUCCAAAAACUCUUGAAUUUGAGCCUUUAACUCCACUAACUCCUUCGGUGCCAUCCUAUACGGUGCGAUGCACACGGGUGCCGUUCCAGGCAACAAGUCUAUUCCAAACUCAACUUCUCGAUUCGGAGGCAAUCAUGGAAGCUCAUCCGGAAAAACAUCUUGGAACUCCUUUACGGUCCUAACCUUAUCCACUGUCAGUCCCUCCUCUUCCGACUGACUUACAAAUGCCAAAUAGGCCUCACAGCCUUUCCGAAUCCACUUUUCGGCUCUUAAAGCUGACACCACAUUGGACAAAUAAUCCCUUCACUCACCUAUCACUAUAAACUCCUUAUCCUUUGUGGUCCUUAACACCAUUCGUUUAGCAGCACAAUCCAGAGUCGCUUUAUGCUUAACAAGCCAGUCCAUUCCCAAAAUGAGAUCAAACUCUCCGAACGGUAACUCCAUCAGAUCUCCAGGGAAAAUCUUACCUUGAGUUUCUAAUGGUACAUCCCUAUACAGUUUGUCUACCUUAACCGAGUGACCCCAAGGACUUAGUACAGAUACCCCACCCACAAUCUCCUCAGAGCAGUCCAAGUCGUCCAUAAUCCGUUCUGUGGCCUCCAACCAAUAUUCCGCCACAUUCGGGGCUAUACCAGACACGCCCUUAAAGAUCUCCGCUCCGUUAGCCCGAAGUCGUUCAGAAAUAGAUCCCCGAACUCCAUUGCCCGUACUUGCCCCGGCAACCCUUUCCAGAACACGAAGCAUUGCCUGUGACAGGGCAUUAUCCUCGGUGGCCCGAUCAUACUGCCCAUUCUCAUCCGCCGGUGGUGGUCGUGCUACUCUAGUGGGUAUGUGUUUAGAAGAUAAAGAUCCAGCUUGAGUACUACCUCGGCCUCGACCACGGCCUCUUCCCCGAGUAGCUCUCGUCCUCAUAUCGAUUUAUCUUGAUUACGACUUUUUUAUGCAUCAAUUCAAUAUUCCAGUGUUUAUUACAGAUGUUUUAUGAAUCAGACAGUAAUUCAAAGUUUGUUUUCGCAGAAUCGAAGUCUAGCUACAGUUUCAGUCUCUUAUCAGAUUUUCCUAUGGUUUCAGAAUCAUCCUAUCUAGAGUAUCCUAGUAGGGUUUCAGUACAGACAGAUAAUUCAGAAAAAUAUUCAGAAGAGUUCAGAGUAAUACUUACAGGCUUGGGCCGGAGAUUGGGAAUGCCACCUUCUAAAGAUCUAAAUUUUGAAAACCGCAUUUUUCGCAAUCUUUAUAAAAUUUUUAUUUUCGAAGAUCUAAACUUUGUAAACCCAUUCCACAGUCGAGUUGGUGUAACCUAGGCUCUGAUACCACUAAAUGUAGCACCCCAAACCCGGCCCAGAAGUUAUGGCAGGAUCUGGCAUGCCACAUCAAAAACGUAAAAAAAAUUUUCCAUUCUAAGUCCAGAAAAUCGUACUUGAUGUUCAAAAGAUUAAUUCAUUAAGGGUUAAAGUGAAUGGAAGCUGUGCACCAGGUAGGAAACCGGUAAAGAGGUGGUGAGUCCAUCGGACUGCUUAAGUACCAAGCUCUCUUCGGAUCCAAUCCUAGACAUGCAUACCGCCAUUGCUACACCUUAACGUCAUGGAUAUUUCUAGGAAACCAAUUUUGAUUAAGUCAUUUUUAGGAAAAGUGAUUAAUUUUAGAAAAUACUUUCAUUGCGGAAGCUUUGAUUGUUGUCGUAUUAUUUUGAAAUCAAUUGUUGUUUUUGAAAACGCGCCCUAAAGCUAUCCAAUUUCAACAGUUAAAAUAAGUAAUACCUAUCUUAGUAACACAAAUUAAAACCAUCAAAAAUAAUUAAGCGGCCUUAUUACAUUUAAAAACACAAACCUCAACGUAAAUAAUAGGAUGUCCAGUUCACCAGAAGAAAACCAAACUUUUAGAACGGGUGGCCACUCCGAAUUCCCUCACAGCUCCAAGCCCACUAUGGUUGGGGAUUUCCUGCGUGGAUGAAAAUAAAAGGGGUGAGUUUGGGGAAACUCAGUAUGUAAGGAAAACCCAUUCAAAGCCCAAGUCAGCUCAAGCCUAUUGGGCCUAAGCCCAUUCAGGUAACAGUGGUACUGGGCCAGAGCCCUUUUCAGAUUACAAUAAACUGGGCCUUAGCCCCUUAUUCAGAUAACAGUAUGGCCCAUAGGCCCAUUUCAAAAUACAUGCAACAUUAGUAAACAUAUGCAAGCCCAUUUGGGGAGACUACUCAACCCACCAACCACUACACUCCACCCGUACCAGCCAUACACUCCAUGUGGGGAUAGCUCAACCCACCCAACCCAACACUCCACAGUUGCAGCCUUGCUGCUCAGUUAACAGUAAAUUGAGGCAAAGCCUCUAGUACAUGGACAAGCCACUUUCAGUACUUCCUCUGUCAAUAUCCCAAUCCCAUGCAUCAGAUAAUAACAACAUGGCAUGCAGUAAAUAACAACAGUCAAACAUGCAUUUAAGUCAAUUUACCCCUAGGGGUAUUUCGGUAAUUUAUCUCCUAGGGGUAAAACUGUAAAUUUUUCACUUUUAAAGGUAUUUCAGUAAUUUAUCUAUUUUAGGGUUUUUCA